rnacentral:ribozyme from 13 species
AGGAGAAAAUGGGAAAAAGAAGCGACCAGCCCAUCUUUUAUCUCCAUUCUUAAGUCUAAUUGUUCGAUUCCUUUUUUUUCUUGCCAUUCUUCAACAUUGGAAUUGAUAAAACAAGAAGAAGA